rnacentral:rRNA from 1 species
UGGGGAAUCUUGCGCAAUGGGGGAAACCCUGACGCAGCCAUGCCGCGUGAAUGAUGAAGGUCUUAGGAUUGUAAAAUUCUUUCAGCGGGGACGAUAAUGACGGUACCCGCAGAAGAAGCUCCGGCUAACUUCGUGCCAGCAGCCGCGGUAAUACGAAGGGGGCUAGCGUUGCUCGGAAUUACUGGGCGUAAAGGGCGCGUAGGCGGACAGUUAAGUCAGAGGUGAAAGCCCAGGGCUCAACCCUGGAAUUGCCUUUGAUACUGGCUGUCUUGAGUAUGGGAGAGGUGAGUGGAACUCCGAGUGUAGAGGUGAAAUUCGUAGAUAUUCGGAAGAACACCAGUGGCGAAGGCGACUCACUGGCCCAUUACUGACGCUGAGGCGCGAAAGCGUGGGGAGCAAACAG